UGCUCUCUUAAACUUUAUUUGAAGUUUGCA
rnacentral:piRNA from 1 species